GAUGACUUGGAUCCCCAGCUGGCUAGGCUGGCCUCUCUGGGUUUUACUGGCUGCCUGUCAGUAGUUCAGUUUAACUCGGUCAGUCCUCUGAAGGCUGCCCUUCUCCACCCGGACACCAGCCCUAUCCACAUCACUGGACCUUUGGUUCAGUCCAACUGCGGCUCUGCAGCUUCAGCCAAUCCCUACGCUGCUGAAAACAUUCACCAUAUAUUGGACCAGUCUGGUUCAGUGGGCUCAGGUCAACCUUUAGUCAAUGCCAUCAGGACUGACUCAGCUCUUAUCGGAGGUGUCAUAGCUGUCGUCAUUUUUGUUAUUCUUACCGGAUUGGCCAUCGCUGCCCGACACCUGUACCAGAGGAAGGACACGUAUCGAACCCAGGAGGAGAACAGGGUCAAACAGGAGGACUGUCCAGAUUUCCCACUGAACAACCCGAAUGACUCCCAGAACCUAUCCACGGAAAAUCCAAAGGAAUACUUUAUUUAACAGGAGUUAUAAUAAUGUGAUGAGCUGCUGGUGUUUU